GACGAACGCUGGCGGCGUGCUUAACACAUGCAAGUCGAACGGAAAGGCCCCUUUGGGGGUACUCGAGUGGCGAACGGGUGAGUAACACGUGAGUAACCUGCCCUUGACUUCGGGAUAACUUCAGGAAACUGGGGCUAAUACCGGAUAGGAAUCCUUGCUGCAUGGUGGGGGUUGGAAAGCUUCGGCGGUUUUGGAUGGACUCGCGGCUUAUCAGCUUGUUGGUGGGGUAGUGGCUUACCAAGGCUUUGACGGGUAGCCGGCCUGAGAGGGCGACCGGCCACAUUGGGACUGAGAUACGGCCCAGACUCCUACGGGAGGCAGCAGUGGGGAAUAUUGCAAAAUGGGCGGAAGCCUGAUGCAGCAACGCCGAGUGCGGGAUGACGGCCUUCGGGUUGUAAACCGCUUUCAGCAGGGGCGAAGCUUGUGGUGACGGUACCUGCAGAAGAAGCACCGGCUAACUACGUG
rnacentral:rRNA from 1 species